AUGGAGAUGUUGGUGGACUAAGCUUAAGUUGGGGUGUCUGGGGAGACUGUCCUUUGUUGGAAUUAGUUACAGAUCUAUUAAAGGAUAAUGGCGAGAGCAGUGAAGAAGCAGAGAGAUGCAUUGCAGUUUCUCUUUUAGAUGAGGUGAGUGCAGAAAGGCUUUUCCAGCUUGAUAUUUUUCAGAUCCAUUUGUCAAGAGUGGCUCUCCGCUAGACAAAGUGGUUGAGGAAGGCAGCCCCCACAAAAUGCAAGUAAUAUACACUAUUGUUGUUGAGCAACAGUGUUUUCCAUCAUGUGGGUUGUGGACGCUUGUCUUCUCCUUGAUUUCAACAGCAACCAUGUAUGAUUUCACUGACAAUGGCUAGGAACCUUUUUUCUGUGGUAAAUAUACAAUUAAUAUACACAUAUUUCACUGUAAUUGCUGGUGUACUUUGACUGGAUGAAAUGUUUUUGGGAGGUGGGUUGUAUUGCUUUAUUCUUUUUUAUCAGCAGAGUUAUGAAGAAAACUAAUGCAGGCUAGCCAUCAAAAUAUGUAAGAACCCUCUCAUCUCAAUAUAUUUUGCUAUGGUGAAAACUGUUUGACAUGGAGAUGUUGGUGGACUAAGCUUAAGUUGGGGUGUCUGGGGAGACUGUCCUUUGUUGGAAUUAGUUACAGAUCUAUUAAAGGAUAAUGGCGAGAGCAGUGAAGAAGCAGAGGUGCAUUGCAGUUUCUCUUUUAGAUGAGGUGAGUGCAGAAAGGCUUUUCCAGCUUGAUAUUUUUCAGAUCCAUUUGUCAAGAGUGGCUCUCCGCUAGACAAAGUGGUUGAGGAAGGCAGCCCCCACAAAAUGCAAGUAAUAUACACUAUUGUUGUUGAGCAACAGUGUUUUCCAUCAUGUGGGUUGUGGACGCUUGUCUUCUCCUUGAUUUCAACAGCAACCAUGUAUGAUUUCACUGACAAUGGCUAGGAACCUUUUUUAUGUGGUAAAUAUACAAUUAAUAUACACAUAUUUCACUGUAAUUGCUGGUGUACUUUGACUUGAUGAAAUGUUUUUGGGAGGUUGGUUGUAUUGCUUUAUUCUUUUUUAUCAGCAGAGUUAUGAAGAAAACUAAUGCAGGCUAGCCAUCAAAAUAUGUAAGAACCCUCUCAUCUCAAUAUAUUUUGCUAUGGUGAAAACUGUUUGACAUGGAGAUGUUGGUGGACUAAGCUUAAGUUGGGGUGUCUGGGGAGACUGUCCUUUGUUGGAAUUAGUUACAGAUCUAUGAAAGGAUAAUGGCGAGAGCAGUGAAGAAGCAGAGGUGCAUUGCAGUUUCUCUUUUAGAUGAGGUGAGUGCAGAAAGGCUUUUCCAGCUUGAUAUUUUUCAGAUCCAUUUGUCAAGAGUGGCUCUCCGCUAGACAAAGUGGUUGAGGAAGGCAGCCCCCACAAAAUGCAAGUAAUAUACACUAUUGUUGUUGAGCAACAGUGUUUUCCAUCAUGUGGGUUGUGGACGCUUGUCUUCUCCUUGAUUUCAACAGCAACCAUGUAUGAUUUCACUGACAAUGGCUAGGAACCUUUUUUAUGUGGUAAAUAUACAAUUAAUAUACACAUAUUUCACUGUAAUUGCUGGUGUACUUUGACUUGAUGAAAUGUUUUUGGGAGGUGGGUUGUAUUGCUUUAUUCUUUUUUAUCAGCAGAGUUAUGAAGAAAACUAAUGCAGGCUAGCCAUCAAAAUAUGUAAGAACCCUCUCAUCUCAAUAUAUUUUGCUAUGGUGAAAACAGUUUGACAUAGAGAUGUUGGUGGACUAAGCUUAAGUUGGGGUGUCUGGGGAGACUGUCCUUUGUUGGAAUUAGUUACAGAUCUAUUAAAGGAUAAUGGCGAGAGCAGAGGUGCAUUGCAGUUUCUCUUUUAGAUGAGGUGAGUGCAGAAAGGCUUUUCCAGCUUGAUAUUUUUCAGAUCCAUUUGUCAAGAGUGGCUCUCCGCUAGACAAAGUGGUUGAGGAAGGCAGCCCCCACAAAAUGCAAGUAAUAUACACUAUUGUUGUUGAGCAACAGUGUUUUCCAUCAUGUGGGUUGUGGACGCUUGUCUUCUCCUUGAUUUCAACAGCAACCAUGUAUGAUUUCACGGACAAUGGCUAGGAACCUUUUUUCUGUGGUAAAUAUACAAUUAAUAUACACAUAUUUCACUGUAAUUGCUGGUGUACUUUGACUGGAUGAAAUGUUUUUGGGAGGUGGGUUGUAUUGCUUUAUUCUUUUUUAUCAGCAGAGUUAUGAAGAAAACUAAUGCAGGCUAGCCAUCAAAAUAUGUAAGAACCCUCUCAUCUCAAUAUAUUUUGCUAUGGUGAAAACUGUUUGACAUGGAGAUGUUGGUGGACUAAGCUUAAGUUGGGGUGUCUGGGGAGACUGUCCUUUGUUGGAAUUAGUUACAGAUCUAUUAAAGGAUAAUGGCGAGAGCAGUGAAGAAGCAGAGGUGCAUUGCAGUUUCUCAUUUAGAUGAGGUGAGUGCAGAAAGGCUUUUCCAGCUUGAUAUUUUUCAGAUCCAUUUGUCAAGAGUGGCUCUCCGCUAGACAAAGUGGUUGAGGAAGGCAGCCCCCACAAAAUGCAAGUAAUAUACACUAUUGUUGUUGAGCAACAGUGUUUUCCAUCAUGUGGGUUGUGGACGCUUGUCUUCUCCUUGAUUUCAACAGCAACCAUGUAUGAUUUCACUGACAAUGGCUAGGAACCUUUUUUAUGUGGUAAAUAUACAAUUAAUAUACACAUAUUUCACUGUAAUUGCUGGUGUACUUUGACUUGAUGAAAUGUUUUUGGGAGGUUGGUUGUAUUGCUUUAUUCUUUUUUAUCAGCAGAGUUAUGAAGAAAACUAAUGCAGGCUAGCCAUCAAAAUAUGUAAGAACCCUCUCAUCUCAAUAUAUUUUGCUAUGGUGAAAACUGUUUGACAUGGAGAUGUUGGUGGACUAAGCUUAAGUUGGGGUGUCUGGGGAGACUGUCCUUUGUUGGAAUUAGUUACAGAUCUAUGAAAGGAUAAUGGCGAGAGCAGUGAAGAAGCAGAGGUGCAUUGCAGUUUCUCUUUUAGAUGAGGUGAGUGCAGAAAGGCUUUUCCAGCUUGAUAUUUUUCAGAUCCAUUUGUCAAGAGUGGCUCUCCGCUAGACAAAGUGGUUGAGGAAGGCAGCCCCCACAAAAUGCAAGUAAUAUACACUAUUGUUGUUGAGCAACAGUGUUUUCCAUCAUGUGGGUUGUGGACGCUUGUCUUCUCCUUGAUUUCAACAGCAACCAUGUAUGAUUUCACUGACAAUGGCUAGGAACCUUUUUUAUGUGGUAAAUAUACAAUUAAUAUACACAUAUUUCACUGUAAUUGCUGGUGUACUUUGACUUGAUGAAAUGUUUUUGGGAGGUGGGUUGUAUUGCUUUAUUCUUUUUUAUCAGCAGAGUUAUGAAGAAAACUAAUGCAGGCUAGCCAUCAAAAUAUGUAAGAACCCUCUCAUCUCAAUAUAUUUUGCUAUGGUGAAAACAGUUUGACAUAGAGAUGUUGGUGGACUAAGCUUAAGUUGGGGUGUCUGGGGAGACUGUC